GACGAACGCUGGCGGCGUGCUUAACACAUGCAAGUCGAACGUGAUUUUUGUGGCAAUUCUUUCGGGAAUGGAAAUGAAAUGAAAGUGGCGAACGGGUGAGUAACACGUGAGCAACCUACCUUACACAGGGGGAUAGCCGUUGGAAACGACGAUUAAUACCGCAUGAGACCACAGAAUCGCAUGAUAUAGGGGUCACAGAUUUAUCGGUGUAAGAAGGGCUCGCGUCUGAUUAGCUAGUUGGAAGGGUAAAGGCCUACCAAGGCGACGAUCAGUAGCCGGUCUGAGAGGAUGAACGGCCACAUUGGAACUGAGACACGGUCCAAACUCCUACGGGAGGCAGCAGUGGGGAAUAUUGCACAAUGGGGGGAACCCUGAUGCAGCGACGCCGCGUGAGCGAAGAAGGUUUUCGAAUCGUAAAGCUCUGUCCUAUGAGAAGAUAAUGACGGUAUCAUAGGAGGAAGCCCCGGCUAAAUACGUG
rnacentral:rRNA from 1 species